ensembl:lncRNA
GAGGUGGGCCCUGAUCUAGUACAACUGUUGUUCUCAUAAAAAGAGGAAAUUUGGAAACACAUAUAUACACAUAGAGAACACCAUGUGAUGAGGAUGGCAGAGAUAUGAAUAAAGCACCUACAAGCCACAGAAUGCCACCAGUUGCCAGCAAGCCACCAGAAGCAGGGCAAAGGUAAAGAAACAUUCUCUCAUACAACGCACAGAAGGACUCAACCCUGUCAAAACCUUGAUCUUCAAUUUCAACUCUCCAGAAAUGGGCAAAGACAGGAUGCGUGUUCCCUUCGCAAGAGAACACACUGAGCACUGGACCUGGCCCGCAGGAAGCCCUUGGAAGGGGUGAGCUGUUUGUAUUCCACCUUGGGGUCUCCAGCAGCCUUUCUGAUACCCAGGAGCAGGAAGGAACAAAUCCAUUCCUGCUGAGGUUCUAUGAGAGCAGCCCAUUCCUCCAUGGGUGACUCUGCAACUUGGACCUUCAGGAUGAAGCAUCAAUGAGGCUGAAGGAUGAAGGCCCGGCACAGGAUGGGCGGGGUCAGGAAACAUCCGGCUUAUUGUUUUCAAUUCUACUCACUCAUGAACUCUCCCUGGGAAACUUAGGCUCUGCCUCAUCCUGCCCAUCCAAGGCUCUGCUCUUCCAGAGUAGAAGAGGAUUUAAAGCAGUAGAUCCCUAACACCCACCCCAUUCUUCUAACAGUUGGAAUUUUCAGGUGGGCUUCUGGGACCUCAUCUAUAUACCUGACACCACUUCCUUUGCUGCAUAGAAACCCUCCUGGGGAAGGUCCUCCCAACAUUUUCCUCUGCACUCUCUCAGCUUCACAAAUGGGGCAGCCCAUAUGCGAAAGGGCAUGUGUGCAUGUAAGCACACAGACACACAGACACACUAUGGUGGUUCCCAGCUGAGGCUCAGUGGUCAGACUGCUGCCUUAGUUAGAAGUCAUGCUGCCCACUUACUACUUCUUGAUCUUUGACAAGUAACUGAGUCUCCCUGUGCUAUAGUUUCUUUUAGAAAAUGAGGACAAUAACAGUCUCUCCCCACCUUAGAGUCAUUGUAGAGAUAAAACAAGGAACUGCAGGUAAAGCAUCUAGUAUAGUCCAUGGUACACAGUAGAUACUCAAGAGAGUCAGCUAUAGUUGGCUGGUUCAGGGAAAUGAAUUGAAUGCAAGUAGACAUGUGGAGUUGAUUUAUACAUGCACACAAACACACAUCUGCUCCAAGGAGCUACAUCAGUUAUAGUCAGGUAGACCCUGGAGGAUUACAGUUCUCUGAGACAAUGUCUGGAAAUGCAGAAGUCUUUCUCUGGCCUGCACUUCAAGGAACUUUAACCCUCACAUCCUCUGCUUUUCCAAGAAUGUGAAUGUUCCUAAUCUUCCUGCAAGCAAGACAUAUCAUCCGCUUGAAGCUAUGUGUCAAGGGAGGCACACUGGCACAGAGUAGGACCAUCGGCCCGGGGCAGUGCCGUGAGGAAGUGUGGUGGACAUGGUCAUGCCAUCCUGCAUCAGCCUGGAGGAAGGAAGCCUGGGUCUGACCAGGGCAUUCCCAUGGGGGAUGUCAGCACGCCUAGUCCCCAUCUCUUCAGUGAGACCUAAGCUCCAUUCACAAAAAGGCCCCAGAGUGUUGGAUGUUGAGUUCCCAGUGGCCAUCCUGGAGCUGAGUAGAGGGCAGAUGGACAGACAGACAGGGCAUUGGAGCCCAGACAGAUUAGCCCUGGGAUGCUAAGGCCUAAGCCAGGCUUCUCAUGCCAGGAACCAGCCAUCUUAAGCUGGCAGUGGCGGGAAAACAGCCAGAAGCAAGGGCAGAAGGUUGUAAAGUCUGGGUGAACAGUGAUGAAGGUGGCUGUCUCUGCUUCCUCUGGGCCACAGUGGGCAGAACAAAGUGGUGCUUCAUUCUCAUUCUUGAAUUUCAGUAGCUCCAACUCGAGUGAAACCUGGAGUUUGAGAUUCUGUGCAGCAACUGCAGAAAAAGAUUAACAGAUUUGACAGGGUGCCAUACCAUAAAGAUGUACAGACAAGACUCAGCCAGUAUUUCUAGUCCCCAACAGAGGCACAUAAGGAUAAGCAUCCCCGGAAAGCCCUGGGAGGAGCCCUGCACUGUAACACUCAGGUAUCCUGCUGGCUAGAUUGAGUCUGGCUUGUGGUCUGCCGAGUAUCUGACCUGUUCUGACCCUCUCCCUGACCCUUGUGUGGUGAAGCCAGCCCGCACAGACCCUCACCCCCAGCACGUGCCCACCCUGCUAUACCAGCACUCCAUUCGCUCACUCCUGAGCUGCCUAUUAAGAGAUCCCCUGAGGCCGCAGGACACCAGGAAGUCACUCAGCA